rnacentral:rRNA from 1 species
GACGAACGCCGGGGGCGUGCUUAACACAUGCAAGUCGAACGGUAAGGCCCUUCGGGGUACACGAGUGGCGAACGGGUGAGUAACACGUGGGUGAUCUGCCCUGCACUUCGGGAUAAGCCUGGGAAACUGGGUCUAAUACCGGAUAGGACCACUGCCUGCAUGGGUGGUGGUGAAAGCUUUUGCGGUGUGGGAUGGGCCCGCGGCCUAUCAGCUUGUUGGUGGGGUGAUGGCCUACCAAGGCGACGACGGGUAGCCGGCCUGAGAGGGUGACCGGCCACACUGGGACUGAGAUACGGCCCAGACUCCUACGGGAGGCAGCAGUGGGGAAUAUUGCACAAUGGGCGCAAGCCUGAUGCAGCGACGCCGCGUGAGGGAUGACGGCCUUCGGGUUGUAAACCUCUUUCAGCACCGACGAAGCGCAAGUGACGGUAGGUGCAGAAGAAGGACCGGCCAACUACGUGCCAGCCGCCGCCGUAA